rnacentral:lncRNA from 1 species
AUCACUGACCCUUUUGUUAAAUUAGACUUUUGUUUGAAGGAAGAGAAGAUUAAUCCACGUAACAAACAUAAAUUUGGCUUUUGAACAAUGUCAGGGUAGCAGGUGAUGAAAGGUACAUAUCCAAUAAAGGAAUCCCUUAAUGUUCCAACUCAGUUCUGACACAUAAUGCUGAAUUACCACUUUUCCAGAUGGUUGCGUUUUUCAAAAUUCAGUAACCAUUGUUUCUUUGAGAUAUUCCUCUGAGAAAGUGAUCCACAUUUAAUAUUUUGAAGUCAGCUUGAAAAGUUAACCAGGCAUGACUAAAACUGAACUGCAAUUGGAUAGCUGUCAGAAGAAAGCUGGGAUGGUUUUACGCUGAAAAGUUAUCUCUUGGGGUCAAGCUGUCCAGUUGUUGGUUUUGCAACUGGGCUUAGUUUGUCCGUGGACCUCCUGUUUUGACUCUGAGUCACCCUUGUGAACUGACGGAGAGUUUGCAAACAGCCAGUUAUCAGGUGGUUCUGCAGAAUUGUUUUUUUGAGGUAAACCAGGUUUUCCUAUGUGUAACUAGGAUCCUAACUUUCCCGACCAUGAUGUUUUUUCCCUUCUGUUCCUGUAUCUUUCUUCCUUGGGUUUCAAUACACCAAUGCAGAGAGGUCCACAAAACCGUCUGAACAAAAUGGGCAUGAAAGGUAUAGCCAUAUGCAACUGUGCCUGUUUGAGAAUUGAUAAUUAAUACUGUAUAAAUUUCAGCUUUUCACAGUUCACUUUACUGGUUAAGACUUGUGAGUUGAGUUGUUCCAUAUGUGGUGUAUAUGAUUGCUUUUGCUCAUGAAAAGAAAGCCAAUUCACAGGUCUUAACAUAGCUAAACAAAACAUUGAAUAACUUCAGUCCUUUUUGAAAAGGACUAAACUUGGAAGAACAUUUUUAACUAAAUUGGAUAGGUUAUAUUAAUAUUGUGGUAUAGGGCCCAGUUCAUCCUUGGUUAUCUGUUUAAUGAGGUUGGGAAAGGAGCGACUAGAAUAAUAAAGAUGGGAGAAGUCCUUGAUUCUGAAGAGUGUUAACACAGGAAUAAGACAGUCCUGGGCAGGGGUAGUAAACCAUGCGUGAUCAGGACUUGGUGCUGAUACUUAACAUGUUAGCGUACAUUCUGCACAUUGUGUCAAAAAGACUUAACCAGGUUAUUGAAAAUAAAAUAUUACC